UUUGCAAUGAUGAUUGGCGCAGGGGUACCGACCUCAGCUGGAUAAUGGGAGCUGAGUGCAGAGCCGUGUCUGUCUGGUUAUCCGACGUGUGGUUGGUGGCCAGGAGACUCUCUGCAUGAUACAGCCGCCAUACUGAGCAAC
ensembl:snoRNA